AGAAGGCCGCAAAUAAGCCCAAGGGUCAGAACUCUAUGGCCUUACACAAAAUCAUCAUGGUGGACAGUGGUGGUGUGGGCAAGUCCGCUCUGACUCUAUGUUUCAUGUACGAUGAGUUUGUGGAGGAAUAUGAGCCUACCAAAGCAGACAGCUAUCGGAAGAAGGAGCUCAGGAUGGGGAGGAAGUACAGAUCUAUAUCAUAAAUACAGCUGGGCAGGAGGACUACACUGCAAUUAAAGACAACUACUUCCACUGUGUCUUCUCUAUUACAGAAAUGGAAUCCUUUGCAGCUACAGUUGACUUCAAGGAGCAGAUUUAAGAGUAAAAAAAGAUGAGAAUAUUCCAUUUCUACUGGUUGGUAACAAAUCAGAUUUAGAAGAUAAAAGGCAGGUUUCUAUAGAAGAGGCAAAAAACAGAGCUGACUAGUGGAAUGUUAUCUAUGUGGAAACAUCUCCUAAAACAUGAGCUAAUGUUCACAAGGUAUUUUUUGACUUAAUGAGAGAAAUUCGAGUGAGAAAGAUGGAAGGUGACAAAGAGUGGAAAAAGAAGAGGAAAAGUUUAGCCAAGACAAUCAGAGAAAGAUGCUGCAU
rnacentral:lncRNA from 1 species